rnacentral:rRNA from 1 species
GGUCAAGUUAUUAAGGGUGCAGGGCGGAUGCCUUGGCACUAGGAGCCGAUGAAGGACGUGAUAAGCUGCGAUAAGCUUCGGGGAGUUGCACGUAAACUUUGAUCCGAAGAUUUCCGAAUGAGGAAACUCACUUAGAGUAAUGUCUAAGUAUCAUUAAGUGAAUACAUAGCUUAAUGAGGGGAACUCAGGGAACUGAAACAUCUAAGUACCUGAAGGAAGAGAAAGAAAUUCGAUUCCGUAAGUAGCGGCGAGCGAACGCGGAUUAGCCCAAACCAAUAAAGUUUUCUUUAUUGGGGUUGCGGACAUAUCAUAACGAAGAGGUAUCGUAAUUGAAGAGGUUUGGAAAGACCCACCACAGAAGGUAAUAGUCCUGUAUGUUAAACGAGAAGACUUUAGAUAUGAUCCAGAGUACCACGGGACACGUGAAACCCUGUGGGAAGCAGGAGGGACCACCCUCCAAGGCUAAAUACUACCUAGUGACCGAUAGCGUAUAGUACCGUGAGGGAAAGGUGAAAAGAACCCCGGGAGGGGAGUGAAAUAGAACCUGAAACCCUGCACUUACAAGCUGUGGAAGCACAUUUCUUGUGUGACCGCGUACUUUUUGUAGAACGGGCCAACGAGUUACGUUAAGUAGCAAGGUUAAGCACUUAAGGUGCGGAGCCGUAGCGAAAGCGAGUUUUAACUGAGCGUUCAGUUACUUGACGUAGACCCGAAACCGGGCGACCUACCCAUGAGCAGGAUGAAGCGAAAGUAAAAUUUCGUGGAGGUCCGAACCCACGAGCGUUGAAAAGCUCGGGGAUGACUUGUGGGUAGCGGUGAAAUUCCAAUCGAGCCCGGAGAUAGCUGGUUCUCCCCGAAAUAGCUUUAGGGCUAGCCUCAAGGUGAGAGAUACGGAGGUAGAGCACUGAAUGUCCUAGGGGGUAUUGCACCUACCGAAGACUAUCAAACUCCGAAUGCCGUCAUCUUAUACUUGGGAGUCAGACUGUGGGUGAUAAGAUUCAUAGUCGAAAGGGCAACAGCCCAGAUCGUCAGCUAAGGUCCCUAAAUGUAAGUUAAGUGGUAAAGGAUGUGGGAUUGCACAGACAACCAGGAUGUUGGCUUAGAAGCAGCCACUCAUUCAAAGAGUGCGUAAUAGCUCACUGGUCGAGUGAUCCUGCGCCGAAGAUUUCCGGGGCUAAAACUUACUACCGAAGCUACGGCAUCAGUAAUGAUGGGUAGGGGAGCUUCCCAUACGGGUUGAAGCAUGACCGUAAGGACAUGUGGACAGUAUGGGAGUGAGAAUGUUGGCAUGAGUAGCGAGAUGUGGGUGAGAAUCCCACAGGCC